AGAUCCACUAUUCAGUUUCACAGGCUUGAAAUGCAUUGAUUCUCAUGUGUCCUGAGUGAUUUCAGAAAAACCUUAUAGCCUUGCAUUUGGACUAAAACAGAUGUUUCUUCUGUUCUCAUCUGGUAGCUUUUCUGAUACUAAGUGGGAAAGUGAUAAAAAUUAUUAUAUUCAGAGAUUCUCAAGGUCUAAGCCUCACUUAUAAAUCCAUCCAAUAGCUGUCUGUUCUUGUGACCCUUGCAGGAACUUUGCAAGAACAAUAUAUUUGAGAGUUGUCAAAGUUGUUUCAAAUCAGCCAGCAAGUUCUGUGCCUGCUGAAGAGGAAAAUAUAUGCAGGGUGCAGACCCAACAGAAAUGGGAAAGCUUGUCAGUCCUGCAGCUGUUAAUACACACCAGCUGAUACCAGCCAGAGAUAACAAAAGGAGAAGGGCUCAAGCUACUUUACCCACUGCAACAUAUCCCCCUAAAACAGCAGGUUGAAUCGCAGGCUAGUAGAAACUAGUUUAUUGCUUUUGAAUGCUUCAAUUGCUGCUCUGAUUCAUCAAUAGAAGAGCGGGCUACAGCAUGCAGGGAGGUUUGUUUGGCCAGCUGUGAGCCUGAGCAAGUCCAGACUCAUGUAACAAGUCAUCACUUUCUCACAGUUAAUAUACCCAUGCAGAGCUCUCUGUUGUUGUUCUUGGGAAGAGUGGGUGAGGAUGGAGAGAACAUGUGGAUGAAAUAUAGUUCCAGGACAGCAAGCAUCAUUUGAUCAGCAUGCAAAGAAGUGUGGGAGAAGAACAUUUGCUAUAUGCUAUCUUAUAUACAGAUCACUAUAUCCUGAUUGUUUGGAUAUUACAGACAUAUUUAAGAGGUUGCAAAGUGAUAAUUAACUUUCAUGUCCAACACUCCAGGGCUAAAAUCUUGUUUCUGAACUUAUUCAUUAAUGAUGGUCAAUAUGCAGACACUAAAAAGGCACAUUUAUUUUUUUUAUCCAGUUUUUCUAUCUUUAUGUAUUUCAAAAACUUUAAAAAAUGUAAAUCACAUUUUCUAGGCAAAGUAAUAAAUCAGAAAUUUUAUUUUUACAAAAUUAUGUUUGUUACCUGUUUCUGUGGUGUAAAUAUAACC